UCCGAUUUGACAUCGGCAGUCCUCUUAGAGUCCCCGGCCGAACCGCUGGCAACAUAGGACAAGGGUUGCGCUCGUUGCGGGACUUAACCCAACAUCUCACGACACGAGCUGACGACAGCCAUGCACCACCUGUCACGGGCCCUUACGGACACUGUAUUUCUACAGCCUUUCCCGUGAUGUCAAACCCAGGUAAGGUUCUUCGGGUUGCAUCGAAUUAAGCCGCAUGCUCCGCCGCUUGUGCGGGGACCCGUCAAUUCCUUUGGGUUUUAGCCUUGCGGCCGUACUCCCCAGGCGGGGCGCUUAAUGCGUUAGCUACGGCGCGGAGACCGUGGAAAGUCCCCACACCUAGCGCCCAACGUUUACGGCAUGGACUAC
rnacentral:misc_RNA from 1 species